UAGAGGGAGACCCCCAAAAAAUAUCGGGAAUGGAACUAGUAGCAAAAAUGUGACGAAGGAUUUAGCAGGAAGAUCCGACGCUAGAGCACCGGUUAGAGCUUUUGCCAUUCGUGCUCGUGAGGACGCAUCUUCUCCCGAUGUUAUCACAGUAUCGCCAAGCUAGCUCGAAGAUCAAUGGACGUUGGAGAUUUGAUCACACUAUCAAUUGGACAUUUGGGUAUAGUUAGUCUCAACAUUUUGAGUACGGCAUGUAUAGGGACUUGGUCUUUUUAUUAAAUGUCAUAUUGGUUUAGCCAAAUGUGUUGGCUUAUAAUGAUUUGAUGAUUUAUUUUGUAUAUGGCCAUGAGAUAUGGCUCAUAUUAAUUAUGGAGAUGUAAUCCUAUUUAUAUACAUUCAUGUGCUAAGGUCACUCAUGAUAUGGUUAAAUUCAUUUGGCAUGGAUGAAUUGUGAAUAUGAUCAUGGAUGUUUGAUAAUGAAA